UACGGAGGGUGCAAGCGUUAUCCGGAUUCACUGGGUUUAAAGGGUGCGUAGGUGGGCAAGUAAGUCAGUGGUGAAAUCUCCGGGCUUAACCCGGAAACUGCCAUUGAUACUAUUUGUCUUGAAUACUGUGGAGGUCAGCGGAAUAUGUCAUGUAGCGGUGAAAUGCUUGGAUAUGACAUAGAACACCAAUUGCGAAGGCAGCUGGCUACACAAAUAUUGACACUGAGGCACGAAAGCGUGGGGAUCAAACAGG
rnacentral:rRNA from 1 species